UCCAGCAGUAGUCAGCUGUCCAGAUAGACCAUUCCUGUGAUGGUGUUACACUGCCGGCAGAGGGCUGUCCUGUUGUCUUCCUCCAGUGGCCUUUGGUCACUCUUCUGGUGGUGCCUGCUGCUGGUGCAAGGCAGAACUGUACGGAGUGUGUGUUGAGUGUUCACUCUGACUGCUUAGUUCUAGUCUGAGAGCAGACACA
rnacentral:snoRNA from 1 species